CAAUAGCGUAUAUUAAAGUUGUUGCGGUUAAAAAGCUCGUAGUUGGAUUUCUGCUGAGAACGACCGGUCCGCCCUUUGGGUGUGUAUCUGGCUCUUUCUUGGCAUCUUCUUGGUGAACGUUGCUGCACUUGACUGUGUGGAGCGCUACCCAGGACUUUUACUUUGAGGAAAUUAGAGUGUUUCAAGCAGGCAUACGCCUUGAAUACAUUAGCAUGGAAUAAUAAGAUAGGACCUCGGUUCUAUUUUGUUGGUUUCUAGAGCUGAGGUAAUGAUUAAUAGGGAUAGUUGGGGGCAUUCGUAUUUAACUGUCAGAGGUGAAAUUCUUGGACUUGUUAAAGACGGACUACUGCGAAAACAUUUGCCAAGGAUGUUUUCAUUGA
rnacentral:rRNA from 1 species